rnacentral:snRNA from 1 species
CCCCUCUUCUUCUCAAUAUUUC